rnacentral:rRNA from 1 species
UACGUAGGGUGCAAGCGUUUAAUCGGAAUUACUGGGCGUAAAGCGUGCGCAGGCGGUGAUGUAAGACAGAUGUGAAAUCCCCGGGCUCAACCUGGGAACUGCAUUUGUGACUGCAUCGCUGGAGUACGGCAGAGGGGAUGGAAUUCCGCGUGUAGCAGUGAAAUGCGUAGAUAUGCGGAGGAACACCGAUGGCGAAGGCAAUCCCCUGGACCUGUACUGACGCUCAUGCACGUAAAGCGUGGGGAGCAAACAGG